CACCCUCCCCAUUGCACAGUAAAUUUCCUCAGCGCUCCCAUGAUACACUGAGUCGGUCGCGCCCUUCUCGUCCGCCGCCACCACCGGUAAUGGCCGUCACCAAAUCAUCCGCGGCCCCGGCCUCCCUUCCGGGGGACGAAAGAACCCCAAUCUCACCGUCCUGUGCAUGGCGAACCAGCGGUGGUGAAGAUAUGGCGAGGCAGAGGUGUCCGAGAUGCUUCUCACCGCCUACAGUAUACCAUCCUCCCUUAGGCCUCCCUCGGCGCCGACCGCUACGUCACCUCCCUCACCACCAUUAGUGACGUUGAAGUCUACAGCGACCUCCGGGUCAUUCAACAUCCAUCAUCUCGAUUAAUUCGAUACCUUUUAUGGUGGGUUUUUCUAAUCUAUCCUAGAUUUGCUAGCUAACAACAAUCCACGCUAUCAAUUCCUUCUGUUGUUCGUUGACGAUGGCACAUUGAGGACAAUAUGUGAACCCUGUGAAGUUUGUCCAAGCAUCCGGCAUAGCAAAUCAGUUCAGGUAUUUCACCGAUGCAUCUCUCUUAAUCUCAUCCACAUAUGGGAGGACUUCUAAUUGAUUGGCUUAGGGCACAUUCUUGGUUGCUCGAGGUAACUUUGGGGUUGAUUCUCACUUUUGCAGUGCAGGAAAACUACAAUGUUGAGCAAUAUCGGAUAAUAACCUAAUUGGGAUUCAGCCUCCCAUAAAUUUUAGUGUUUGACUCUAUUGAUCUGAGAGCAGUCUUAUGAGUCAUUAUAGCAAGGGCACAGGUUGAGCACUUCCAUUUUACUUCAUUAUCUUCUCUUUCAUAGUUAAUCAAGUCCCUUGGUCUCAUAAUCAUAUUCUUGCCUGGCUAUAUCCACUGUUUUUCAAAAUUCUUAGGCUCAGAAAACACAUGACCUACGAUUACAUUCUCGUUCAUUCAUGCUUGGCUUCAAAAUGGUUUUAAGAGCAUUGAUUUGAUUCAGGUAGUGAUUGGAUGUGAUAUUUUAGGUUUCAGCUAAACUGAAACCUACGAAAUCAUUGUUUAAGAAGCAGCAUUAGUAAAUUAUAAUGAUCCCUGAGGUCAUGGCCCAAAAAGGGAUUUGCAUUUUGGAAUCCCUAGUCCCAUGCAAUGAAGCCUCAUCAAGAAGAGAUGUGAUUUGAAAUAGGAGAAGAGGAAUGCAUGUUUAAACCAAUUUGCUGGUAGACUUUAGAUGAGAAAGAAGAAUGUAUACAGAGGUGAUGUAUGGCCAACUGGUUCGAGCUGUUAAUUCAUGAAAUGUUUGGCUUGAAUCUAGAGAAUAGACAAGAUGUACAAAGGUAUUAGAGAACAAAUUUGUCCCUACAUGCUAUGCAUUGGCAAUAAUAAUUUGUAAAUGUCCUGUGGUUUUUACUGCGAACCAUCGAGGUUUCUAGAUCUGUUUUCUGAUAAAGAAAGACUUGUGGUGUUCUAGUUAUUUAUUCAUAGCUUUACUUCCUAAUGUCAGGUCUCAAGUAUAAGUCCCUCAAAAAUUAGUUUAUUUCAACUGAGCCUUGUUUAGUGUAUCUUUAAGAAUAUGGUAGGAUUAUAUAAAGUUCCCUAAUCAACUGUUAGACCAUUAAAAAGUGGGCUUCAGGUAGGUUUUUUUCUUUUUCUUCCAGAACAGGUUGAGAUUAUUAUUGCUGGACACAGAAGUCAAAUCCCAAGUAUGUAUUUAGUGAACCGGUGAGACGUAUGAAGUUGUGCCUAACUCCUAGAACGUGUUUCAUAAACAGCUUGAUCUAGGAGUAUCAAUCAACGUCUUGACUGAACCCUCAUUGUUAUGCAUCGAGAUAUGAAACCCAGUGUUGGACUUGUACAUUUGGAAUCUUAUGGUGUUAAUUCUCUAGCAUAGAUGAAUUCAUUGGAAUUCAAUGAGCAUGCCUAAUUUGAAUGGAUUUGAGCUCUAUAAGGAGCUUUCUUUGAAGGAAAAAAAAUUUGAGUUUAAUGCCUUUGUGAAUAAGCACCCAUCCAAAAAAUAAAAGGUGCACCCAUCAAGAAUUGAAUUUGCAUUUAUUGGCUCCCAAGAUCAAUUGAAUUUGCAUCCUUCUCAUUCUUAGGUAAUCUUGAGUGACUGUAUGGUGUGAGUUGAACUUUAUAUUAUCUUUUUUAUUCUUGUUAAUUAGCAAGAAAUGCUUAUUACACCUUAUUCUCAAAAUUUUCUGCUGUACGUGUUAGCCAUAUUUGACAGGUUAAAGGAAGAGAAGAAAGGUUUAGAGGGUCAACAUGUUGACCAGAUUGAACCAUUGAAUUCAUCUAAAGAAGAUGGAGACAGCCAAAAGGAUGGCUAAGAUGAAGGCAUCAUUAAUAUAAAGUAGGGAUGCCUGCAGCACAGGACUUGAUGGAGCUUUGGUUUGAAAUCCACAUGAGCUGCUUGCCAUACAAAAAGGAAAUCUUCUGGACCUAUGGUUUCAAAUCCACAUUGGUUGAGUUUGGAUCAGAUUCCAAGAUUGAAGAGUAGAUCAAUGCCUACGUUUCUUAGGAUAAUGCUGCCUAACCUUGAGAUGGAUCUCUGAUGACAGGAGGAACAGGUUUAUGCUACUCCAUAUAUUUGAUUUACUCUUGUAAGAUCAGUUCAUGCAAUCAUAGCAGCAUCAUAGCUCAGAGGUGAUGCUAAUCAAAUUGUGAAAAUGAAAGGCGAUAUUGGUUGACAGUGAAGUAUAAUGAUCGAGCCUGGUUUAGCGUGGUGUUGAUGGAAGACAGGUUUGAUGCCUUGGCUGGCACACCAUGACGCUGGCGAGCCGCAUUCUAUCCAAAGGGAACUACUAGUACAGUGGAAAGCUUCAUCCUUGUGCAUACAAAAACAGACAAGCAAGAGCUUGAUAGAGAAGGGGGAAAAAAUAAAGGCAAAGAACAAGUUAGCUUGUUCCCCAUCUGGACCUUUUGCCAAAGCUAAAGAUAUAGGCACGUAAAGUCACCGCUAGUUCA